GUAGGUGGCAAGCGUUGUCCGGAAUUAUUGGGCGUAAAGCGCGCGCAGGCGGUUCUUUAAGUCUGAUGUGAAAGCCCACGGGCUCAACCGUGGAGGGUCAUUGGAAACUGGAGAACUUGAGUACAGAAGAGGAAAGCGGAAUUCCACGUGUAGCGGUGAAAUGCGUAGAGAUGUGGAGGAACACCAGUGGCGAAGGCGGCUUUCUGGUCUGUAACUGACGCUGAGGCGCGAAAGCGUGGGGAGCAAACAGGAUUAGAUACCCUGGUAGUCCACGCCGUAAACGAUGAGUGCUAAGUGUUAGGGGGCUUCCGCCCCUUAGUGCUGCAGCUAACGCAUUAAGCACUCCGCCUGGGGGAGUACGGCCGCAAAGGCUG
rnacentral:rRNA from 1 species